CCCCUAGAUGUUCUGGGCCGCACGCGCGCUACACUGAACAGUUCAACAAGUCUUAACCUUGGCCGAUAGGUCUGGGUAAUCUUUGAACGCUGUUCGUGAUUGGGAUAGACCUUUGCAAUUAUGGGUCUUCAACGAGGAAUUCCUAGUAAACGCAAGUCAUCAGCUUGCAUUGAUUACGUCCCUGCCCUUUGUACACACCGCCCGUCGCACCUACCGAUUGAAUGGUCCGGUGAAAUCUCGGGACGGCGGCUUGGUCGCUUGCGUCCGACUGCUGAAACUUGAUUAAACCAUAUCAUUUAGAGGAAGGGGAAGUCGUAACA
rnacentral:rRNA from 1 species